UUUAAAAUGUUGUAGUCGAGUAGAAAGUUAUAGAAAACUAACGUCGAUUAAGUGUUUUAUUGCUUGUGUUAGUUUUUGGAAGUGAAGCACACCAAAUAGUUAAUUGUUUUUGUAACGGGCAAUCUUGUAAGCUAUGCAAGAUGCCAGUUCCAAACAGUCACAGAUUGCUCUGUCAAAAAACUAUGACCUUAACAUUCCAUCAUGCUACUCUAUUUAGAGAUCUAGCUUGUGAAACUUACAACGGAAAGAAGGCUAACCAGGAAGAACGUCACCUGUGAUGUGCAUUCUUAGAAUCAGCACACCACUGUCUAAUUCAACUACCCCUUUGCCUACUCAUCAGAAUCAGCUUUAAUCUGCUAAAUGGAUUGUGCACCUCUUGGUUUGGUUUCCAAAGCUUAACCAUUACCAACCAACACAAGUAGACAAGGGCAUCGAAACAAUCCCUUUUGGUCUGCUAAACCUUCACCAUCUUCAGCAAAAUUACCAGCCCUACAGCUUCCGCAGUCUUCAGACAACGUCAUAGGCUUUUCGCCCCGUCCGUCACCCAGUCUUCGCCUCGUCCGUCGCCCCGUCUUCGCCUCGUCCGUCGCCCCG